rnacentral:lncRNA from 1 species
AUUCUCUGAGAUAUAAGGAUGUUUAGUUUCCCAUCUUGGCACACUCCCCUCCCAAGAGACUCACAUUUGACAAACAGCUUUCAUUCCCUGCCAUAGCUUUCCAUCAUAUACAAUCCUUAUUAUUAAUAGGCAUGUCCUUUAUGCAAAGCUUUCUUUUGGAAAUUGAUUGGAGGUAGGUAGGUGAAUGAGGCAGCAAGGACAAAACUCAGAAGAAAAGGUGGAUAAGCAAGGAUGACCAGUUAUGAGAGAAAAAACGACAAAAAUGGAAGCUGAUACUCAUCGUAAAAGGUUUUCAAGUCAGAGAACAGGAUUUUGUGAUCUUCACCGUGUGCAAGGGCUUAAGAGCCUUCAAUGCUCUUUAAUGUAGAAAAAGAAGGCUCUCUUGGCCAAAAGGAACCUGUGCUAGUGUCCUGGGACUGCUGUCACUCAGUGCUGCAGACUGGGGGGCUUAGAAUGACAGAAAUUCAUUACCUCACACUUCUGGAGGCCAGGCGCCUGGAUCAAAGUGUUGGCAGGGCCACACUCCCUCUGAAGCUGUAGGGAAGAAUCCUGCCUUGUUUCUUCCUAGAUCCUGGAAGAAGCCGUCAAUCCUUAGCAUCUCCUGCCUUGCAGCGGCAUCAUUCCAGCCCCCGCCUCUGUCAUCACAUGACGUUCUCCCUGUGUGUCUCUGGCUUCACAGGGCACUUUCCUCUUCUUAUAAGACAAGAGUCAUAUUGCAGUAGGGGCCACCCUAAGGACCUCAUCUUAAGUUGAUUACAUCUACAAAGAACUGAUUUCAUGCUAAGUUCUCAUCCACCGCUGCUGAGGGUUAAGACUUCAGCCUAGCUUAUUGCGGAACCCCAGCUGCUGAUGUUAAUGCCUUCCACUCAUUUGAUCCUUCUCCAACGAGAAAACACCUGUGCUGUGGCGCUGCCUCCCAGAGGAGCAGCCUUACAUAGCGGGUGCGUGUGCGGUAGGAGGCGGGUAGGUGUUUAGGAAGGAAAGGCUGGACAAACGUCCAAUUAGAGGAGACAGCGAGAGUCGGGUAGGC